GAAAUGCGAUACGUAAUGUGAAUUGCAGAAUUCCGUGAAUCAUCGAAUCUUUGAACGCACCUUGCGCCCCUUGGCCAUUCCGAGGGGCAUGCCUGUUUGAGUGUCAUUGUUAACUCUUCUCAACUUUGGUUUUUGUUUUCAGAAAGGCCAAAGCUUGGACAGUGGGGGGUGUGCUGGCUGGCCAGCUUUGCUUGGUCGGGUCAGCUCCUCUGAAAGGAAUUAGCGAAAGGGAAAAAGGCACGCCUGUUCCUGCAAUCUCUUGCUUCUGGCAUUGAUAGUUGUCUAUGCCUGUCACAUGGGUUGCGAUUCUCGCUUACAGUUGUCUUCGGACCUUUUGAACACAUCACCUCAAAUCAGGUAGGACUACCCGCUGAACUUAA
rnacentral:rRNA from 1 species